rnacentral:rRNA from 1 species
UGCCAGACUCCUACGGGAGGCAGCAGUGGGGAAUAUUGCACAAUGGGGGAAACCCUGAUGCAGCGACGCCGCGUGAGUGAAGAAGUACUUCGUUAUGUAAAGCUCUAUCAGCAGGGAAGAAAAUGACGGUACCUGAGUAAGAAGCCCCGGCUAACUACGUGCCAGCAGCCGCGGUAAUACGUAGGGGGCAAGCGUUAUCCGGAUUUACUGGGUGUAAAGGGAGCGUAGACGGCAGUGCAAGUCUGGAGUGAAGGGCGGGGGCUCAACCCCCGGACUGCUCUGGAAACUGUACGGCUGGAGUGCAGGAGAGGUAAGUGGAAUUCCUAGUGUAGCGGUGAAAUGCGUAGAUAUUAGGAGGAACACCAGUGGCGAAGGCGGCUUACUGGACUGUAACUGACGUUGAGGCUCGAAAGCGUGGGGAGCAAACAGGAUUAGAUACCCGAGUAC